CACAAUGGGCGCAAGCCUGAUGCAGCCAUGCCGCGUGUAUGAAGAAGGCCUUCGGGUUGUAAAGGUACUUUCAGCAGUGAGGAAGUGGGUAUGUUAAUAGCAUAUUCAUUUGACGUUAGCUGCAGAAGAAGCACCGGCUAACUCCGUGCCAGCAGCCGCGGUAAUACGGAGGGUGCGAGCGUUAAUCGGAAUUACUGGGCGUAAAGCGCAUGCAGGUGGUUUGUUAAGUCAGAUGUGAAAGCCCGGGGCUCAACCUCGGAAUUGCAUUUGAAACUGGCAAACUAGAGUACUGUAGAGGGGGUAGAAUUUCAGGUGUAGCGGUGAAAUGCGUAGAGAUCUGAAGGAAUACCGGUGGCGAAGGCGGCCCCCUGGACAGAUACUGACACUCAGAUGCGAAAGCGUGGGGAGCAAACAGGAUUAGAUACCCUGAUAG
rnacentral:rRNA from 1 species